AGCUCUCUUGGGGGUGCUAUAGGCCCCAACUGCAGGACUGUGGCUCACAGAGUGCCAGAUGGGCUUGGGGCUGCACUGGUGGGAGCCUGGCCAUUGAGGACCCCAGAGGAACCAGGGAGCUUCAAUGAGGGGGAAAGGGUAAGAAGCAGCCCAGGGGACUUAAACUUUUCAAUGAGCAGCAACCCCAGCAGCGGUCCCAGUUGGCUGGCCUGAUGCCCCUGCUCUGCUGCCAUGAAGCUCGUGAGGUUUCUAAUGAAACUGAGUCAUGAGACUGACCACUGAACUGAAGAACGGAACAAUCACAGGAGUGGAUGUCAGUAUGAAUAAGCAUCUUAAAGCGGUGAAAAUGACACUGAAGAACAGAGAGCCUGGACAGUUUGAGACAGAGUAUUUGAGGAAAUAACAUUAGACUUCAUUCUGCCAGGCUGUCUACCUCUGGAUACGCUGCUAGUGGAUGUUGAACCAAAAGUCGAAUCCAAGAAAAGGGAAGCAGUUGUAGGAAGAGGCCGUGGCAGAGGACGAGGGGGGACCUAGGCCAUAACUUCUCACACCACAGAUGCAUGUUACAAAAUUCUAAGCAGCCUGAUAUUUUUUGUACAAGUUUU